UGGGGAAUUUUGGACAAUGGGCGCAAGCCUGAUCCAGCCAUGCCGCGUGUCUGAAGAAGGCCUUCGGGUUGUAAAGGACUUUUGUCAGGGAAGAAAAGGCUGUCGCUAAUACCGACAGUUGAUGACGGUACCUGAAGAAUAAGCACCGGCUAACUACGUGCCAGCAGCCGCGGUAAUACGUAGGGUGCAAGCGUUAAUCGGAAUUACUGGGCGUAAAGCGAGCGCAGACGGUUACUUAAGCAGGAUGUGAAAUCCCCGGGCUCAACCUGGGAACUGCGUUCUGAACUGGGUGACUAGAGUGUGUCAGAGGGAGGUAGAAUUCCACGUGUAGCAGUGAAAUGCGUAGAGAUGUGGAGGGAUACCGAUGGCGAAGGCAGCCUCCUGGGAUAACACUGACGUUCAUGCUCGAAAGCGUGGGUAGCAAACAGGAUUAGAUACCCUGGUAGUCCACGCCCUAAACGAUGUCAAUUAGCUGUUGGGCAACUUGAUUGCUUAGUAGCGUAGCUAACGCGUGAAAUUGACCGCCUGGGGAGUACGGUCGCAAGAUUA
rnacentral:rRNA from 1 species